UCCCCCCAAUUUACACUCACUUUCACACACAGACGCCAAGAAAGAAACCAUACGCCAAGAAAGAAAGAAACCAUUUUUUCACAUCCUCAGUAGUAAAAACCCUAAUCUUCGAUCGCUCUCCUCUUCCGCUCUCUAAAACCCUAAUAUCCGAUCCUCCAGAUCGCUUCGCCCAUCAAAUCCCCGCUCCCCAAUCGCUAAGCUUUCCUAUUGCGCCACCAAUUUUCCUCCUAGGGUUUGUUCUGAUUGAAAUUCCGUCAAGGCUGGCGGCUACCCGGGUCAUGUAAAUGGCGGAUCCGCCAACAAUCCGCCCCUGCAAGCGUUGUGUUACAGUUACAGAUACAGUUACGGGCGGUAGCAUAGGAAGCAGAAGCAGCAGCAGAAGGAGAAGAGUGGUGUUGAUAGGGUCAGAGAGUUGUGAAGAUUGCGAAGAGUGAAGCAUGCUGAGCGUGGUGCGAGUGCACCUCCCUUCCGAUAUUCCCAUCGUAGGAUGUGAGUUAACACCUUAUGUGCUCCUCCGCCGCCCUGACAGGACCGUUACCACCGAUGAUGUUUCCGAGAUCAACCCCUUAGAUGGCCAUUUCUUGCGUUACAAGUGGUAUCGUGUACAAAGUGAUAAAAAAGUUGCUGUCUGUAGCAUACAUCCAUCCGAGCAGGCCACACUGCAGUGCCUAGGUUGUGUUAAGGCUAAAAUACCUGUUGCCAAAAGUUACCAUUGCACUCCAAAGUGUUUUUCAGAUGCAUGGCAGCAUCAUCGUGUCUUACAUGACCGUGCUGCAAGCGCAGUUAAUGACAACGGAAAUGAAGAGGAGGAGUUAUUUGGGCGAUUUAAUAAUUCUGGUUCUGGAUCUUCCAAUACCACCUUAUCUGCCUCUGCUUCAAGUGCUAGCCUGACAAAUGGAGCUGCACCUGUGUAUCCGGCAGCAGUUACACAACGAAGUGGUGGUGAAACGUGGUUUGAAGUUGGACGUUCUAAGACAUACACCCCUACUGCUGAUGACAUUGGUCAUGUACGUCGAAUGAUACCUGUUGAUGGGAUGGGGCAUUUAGAUGCAGAAGGGCGUAUAACAUCUUCGGGAUCUUUUACGGUUCUAUCAUACAACAUAUUGUCUGAUUCAUAUGCCUCAAGUGAAUUAUACAAUUACUGCCCUUCAUGGGCUCUUUCGUGGCCUUAUCGCCGGCAAAAUUUGUUACGAGAAAUAGUUGGUUACCGUGCUGAUAUUAUUUGUCUUCAGGAGGUUCAAAGUGAUCAUUAUGAGGAAUUUUUUGCCCCUGAACUGGAUAAACAUGGUUAUUAUGGUCUUUACAAGAAAAAAACAAAUGAGGUAUUCCUUGGUAAUGCCAAUACAAUUGAUGGUUGUGCGACAUUUUUUCGUAGAGACAGAUUUUCACAUGUGAAAAAAUACGAGGUUGAAUUUAAUAAGGCUGCACAGUCAUUAACAGAUGCAAUGAUUCCAACCUCUCAGAGGAAAACUGCCUUGAAUCGGCUGGUUAAGGAUAAUGUUGCACUAAUAGUUGUACUAGAAGCAAAGGUAAACAAUCAGCCUGUUGACAAUCCUGGGAAAAGACAGCUUCUUUGUGUGGCAAAUACACAUGUCAAUGUGCAUGACGAUUUAAAGGAUGUCAAACUCUGGCAGGUGCAUACACUUUUAAAAGGAUUGGAGAAAAUCGCUGCCAGUGCGGACAUUCCAAUGUUGGUUUGUGGAGACUUUAACUCAGUUCCAGGAAGUGCUCCUCAUUCUCUUCUUGCAAUGGGAAAAGUAGAUCCUUCACAUCCUGACUUAGCUGUUGACCCACUUACUAUAUUGCACCCUCGUACCAAGUUGGUUCACCAAUUGCCACUGGUCAGUGCAUAUUCAUCUUUUGCAAGAACAAUUGGUGUUGGGUAUGAGCAGCAUAGACGGAGAUUGGACAGCACAACAAAUGAACCUUUAUUCACCAAUGUCACUAGAGAUUUUAUUGGAUCUCUAGAUUACAUAUUCUACACAGCGGAUUCCUUGGUUGUGGAGUCGUUGUUGGAGCUAUUGGACGAGGAAAGUUUGAGGAAGGAUACAGCUCUUCCUUCACCUGAGUGGUCCUCAGAUCAUAUAGCUCUCUUAGCUGAGUUCCGCUGCUGCAAAAAUAGAUCUAGGCGCUGACUCAUAAGGUCGGAUCCGGAUAUACGUAAACAAAAAGGUUGAAAGAAUCAAGCAUUUAGUUGACAAGAUAUUGUAAGAGUGGUAGAUCAUGGCCUUUGUCUUUUUUCCCAGAGAUACUUUGAUGAUGAACGAACUAACAAAGUCGGAAUGAACCUCAUGAUACCAUCAACGACGUGUGAAUAUAAUUAUUGCACUGGUUAAAAAUUCCACCAAGUCAAGGAGGUGGUUCUUCUAGUUCAACUCUGAAACCCUUUUGCACUGUAUUUCUAUCGGCUUGUGGUGCAUGUCCCUUGUAACAUUAACUGAUAGAGUGAUAUUAAACAUCCGUUAAGUAAGCAGUGAAGAUUAAUGUUGUAGCACAGGACAAGGACGAUGAAGAGCCACUAGGGAGCUGAGAUUGAGUGAAAAUGUUGUUCCCAAAUGACAAAGUACGCCGAUGGGGAAAGGGAAAAGAGCCGCCAUAGAUGGUUUUUUGAGUUGGAAUAGUGUUGUGUUUUAGAGCUUCUAAUGUCAAUCUCUAUUGCCGGAAUUUUUAUACGGUUGUUUGAUAUAUAAAUGUAAGAUUGUAAUGUUUGUAUGAUAGUAUGAUGGGAGUAGCAAUAUUCAUUUUAUAA